rnacentral:rRNA from 1 species
GACGAACCGUGCGAACGUUGUUCGGAAUCACUGGGCUUAAAGGGCGCGUAGGCGGGUUCGCAAGUCUGUGGUGAAAGCCUCCAGCUUAACUGGAGAAGUGCCGUGGAUACUGCGAAUCUUGAGGAGGGUAGGGGCGUCUGGAACGGUCGGUGGAGCGGUGAAAUGCGUUGAUAUCGACCGGAACUCCGGUGGCGAAGGCGGCAUCCUGGACCAACACUGACACUGAGGAGCGAAAGCCAGGGGAGCAAACGGG